rnacentral:rRNA from 1 species
CACAUGACUCUCGGCAAUGGAUAUCUCGGCUCUCGCAUCGAUGAAGAACGUAGCAAAAUGCGAUACCUGGUGUGAAUUGCAGAAUCCCGCGAACCAUCGAGUUUUUGAACGCAAGUUGCGCCCGAGGCCUUCUGGCUGAGGGCACGUCUGCCUGAGCGUCACGC